GCUCAACCGGGGAGGGUCAUUGGAAACUGGGGAACUUGAGUGCAGAAGAGGAGAGUGGAAUUCCACGUGUAGCGGUGAAAUGCGUAGAGAUGUGGAGGAACACCAGUGGCGAAGGCGACUCUCUGGUCUGUAACUGACGCUGAGGCGCGAAAGCGUGGGGAGCGAACAGGAUUAGAUACCCUGGUAGUCCACGCCGUAAACGAUGAGUGCUAAGUGUUAGAGGGUUUCCGCCCUUUAGUGCUGCAGCAAACGCAUUAAGCACUCCGCCUGGGGAGUACGGUCGCAAGACUGAAACUCAAAGGAAUUGACGGGGGCCCGCACAAGCGGUGGAGCAUGUGGUUUAAUUCGAAGCAACGCGAAGAACCUUACCAGGUCUUGACAUCCUCUGACAACCCUAGAGAUAGGGCUUCCCCUUCGGGGGCAGAGUGACAGGUGGUGCAUGGUUGUCGUCAGCUCGUGUCGUGAGAUGUUGGGUUAAGUCCCGCAACGAGUGCAACCCUUGAUCUUAGUUGCCAGCAUUCAGUUGGGCACUCUAAGGUGACUGCCGGUGACAAACCGGAGGAAGGUGGGGAUGACGUCAAAUCAUCAUGCCCCUUAUGACCUGGGCUACACACGUGCUACAAUGGGCAGAACAAAG
rnacentral:rRNA from 1 species